GAUGAACGCUAGCUACAGGCUUAACACAUGCAAGUCGAGGGGCAUCAGUUUGGUUUGCUUGCAAACCAAAGCUGGCGACCGGCGCACGGGUGAGUAACACGUACCCAACCUGUCUCAUACUCGGGGAUAGCCUUUCGAAAGAAAGAUUAAUACCCGAUGGUAUCUUAAGCACGCAUGAGAUUAAGAUUAAAGAUUUAUCGGUAAGCGAUGGGGAUGCGUUCCAUUAGGCAGUUGGCGGGGUAACGGCCCACCAAACCUACGAUGGAUAGGGGUUCUGAGAGGAAGGUCCCCCACAUUGGAACUGAGACACGGUCCAA
rnacentral:rRNA from 1 species